rnacentral:rRNA from 1 species
AAGGCCUUCGGGUUGUAAAGCACUUUAAGCAGGGAGGAAAGGGGCAAGACUAAUAAUCUUGUCAGUUGACGUUACCUGCAGAAUAAGCACCGGCUAACUUCGUGCCAGCAGCCGCGGUAAUACGAAGGGUGCAAGCGUUAAUCGGAAUUACUGGGCGUAAAGCGCGCGUAGGCGGUUUGGUUAGUUGGAUGUGAAAGCCCAGGGCUCAACCUUGGAACUGCAUCCAAUACUGCCAGGCUAGAGUACGGGAGAGGGGGGUAGAAUUCCACGUGUAGCGGUGAAAUGCGUAGAGAUGUGGAGGAAUACCGGUGGCGAAGGCGGCCCCCUGGAUCGAUACUGACGCUNAGGUGCGAAAGCGUGGGGAGCAAACAGGAUUAGAUACCCUGGUAGUCCACGCCGUAAACGAUGUCAACUAGCCGUUGGGAGCGUAAUGCUCUGAGUGGCGCAGCUAACGCACUAAGUUGACCGCCUGGGGAGUACGGUCGCAAGAUUAAAACUCAAAUGAAUUGACGGGGGCCCGCACAAGCGGUGGAGCAUGUGGUUUAAUUCGACGCAACGCGAAGAACCUUACCUGGUCUUGACAUCCCAAGAACUUUCCAGAGAUGGAUUGGUGCCUUCGGGAGCUUGNAGACAGGUGCUGCAUGGCUGUCGUCAGCUCGUGUCGUG